rnacentral:lncRNA from 1 species
AAAUCAUUAAGAUUUAGUUGAAACUAGAGAAAAAUUUCAAGAUUUCAAAUUGUGAAAUGGGCUUAGCAAAACUUCUAGGGCAUGUUUGUUUGGCCUCUUUAGAUCUCACUGGACAGGACUACCUUAGAUAGAAGUCCUAGCCCGUGUUUGGCGCUGCCUUUAAUGAGACUAAGUCGGACUCGCACCGACUAAAAGCUUCACUAGCUGUUCUUCGCUAGUACCCCCGAAAAUUGGCGGAUUGCUAAUCCCGUCUCUAGCGCCCACGUCGUCUGCAAGCAUGCAUCCCGGAUCUCCUUCUUCCCGCGAACCCAGUUACCAAAUCAUGCCUUCCGCCCUCUUCUCCAGUCACCAAAUCUGAAACGGCUCUGCCGAUUCCGUCCCGCAAACCCAGCCCCCUCUUUGCUUCAGAGAUGAGUUCAUUCAAUUAAGCUUCCAAUAAGCUUAAUCCACACCAUACACAACACUUCAAUUCGAAGAUUAAACCUUAUAAAUCCCAAAUAUAGAAAAUAUCAAAAUCUGCAAUAAACCUAGAAAUCUAUUACCUUGGGUUGCUGUGCACUUCUCCAGAAAUCUGUAGGCAAAAAAACGAAAGACCUCCAAAAAUCCACAGUGCUCUUCUCCAGAAACCCAGAAAUCUAUUACCUUGAUUUGGGAUUUUUGUGAAAAAGAGAGCUAUCUCUGGUUAGAGGAACAAGAAGAAAGACUUGUUGGUCUUUGAUCCAAAUUAGGUGCAAAAUGCACAGCUUCCUCCGUUGAAGAAGAAAACAGGGAGAAAAAGGGGAGAAAAAAGAGGGAUGAGAGGGAGACUGUGUCGGAGAAAACAAGGGAGAAUGGUGGAAAAAUGGUGGAUGUUUCCAGAAACAGGAAGAGAAUCCAAAAAGAAAAAAAAAAAAUUAAUAAUAAAUAUAAUAAAAUAUUAAUAGAUACAUAAAAUAUUAAUAGAUAUAAAUAUAAUAUUAUAAUAGAUGUCAAUUAUAUAAUAUAAUAUUAUAAUUUAUUAAUUAGUCUGCUUCUUAGUUCGAUACUGCACCAAACACUUCACUAAAUUAGUCCAGCUUAGUCUAGUCUAAACCAGUCCAGCUUAAUCCCUGCAGCUAGUCCAGUCCAAGACAGUCCGAUACAACAAACGCACCCCUAUAGUGAAUUGGGAUAUAUCAUCGAUAUUUAUUUAUUUUUUUUAUCUCACGGGUAUAAAGUGAAAUUUAUAUUUCACCACCUCUACUACAAUCGAUCCUUGAUUCUUUAGACCUACUUCAACUCUUUGUGUAAAACUCAAAUUGUAGGUUCUAAACUUACCUAACUUGCUCCAACCCUUAGGGCAAAUAUAAGUUAAAACUCAAAACUCAUUUCUAGGCCAAAUUUAGCCCAGGAUUCCCCCCUUGAGUUAGUGGGGCUGACCCACCAUAUAUUUAUAUAUUUUUUGUUUUAUAUUUAUAAUUCAUUUAAUUCAACGGUUAAGAUCUAAUUUGAUGAAAUCCAUUAGUAAAAAAAAUAUCUAACGGUCCAAAUUUAAAUCCAACGGCUAAAGUAAUUAAAAAAAAUAUUUUAUGUGUUUCAUAUUCUUUCAUAGUGUUUCACGAGUUUCAUGGUGUCGGUUAAUGAUUUUUCAAUAUUUGUCGAAAUCUAAAUAUUUUUUUUGUUAAAAUGUUUAUAAAAUUAAAUUAGGAUAAUCUACAUAAUUUUUUUCUUUUAAAAAAGUUACUUUAAGAAAGAAAAAAAACCUAAAUUCAUUCUUUAAUAAUUUAGGGCUAAAAUUUUAACCUAGAAGAAUUGGAAAAAAAAAUUAUUCCUAGAUUAAAACUUAAAUUUUUCGAACUAAAAAUUUCAACACAAAAAUUAAAGAUGAUCUUAGAUAUUUUGACAGAAAUAUCGUGAAUUAUUUAAACAUUGGUUGCACAUCUACUACGACUAGAUCUUGACAAUUUUAUCUUUAUGAUGAAUUUACGUUGCCCAACCAAGAAUCCUCUUGUCAUCAAUGACAAUUGCAAAGCUCCACUUAUUUGAAAUUCACGAGUGUAGAUGGAGGAAGCAUUUGGUGACGGCAAGUAAGAGUAGGGGUGGCCUCUGACGUGGGUGUAAGAGUAGGGUUGCCGCUGACGUGGGUGACUAAGUUGCUGCUGGCGGGAAAUCUAAACAUUCGUAAAUUGUGUCUAUUCAUCAUAUUUAGAAAUUAUUUUAAAUUAUUUUAUUUAAAAUUAAACAUAAAUAGUACCUAAUAAAAAUUGAUUACAUAAUUUAUGAUAAACUAACAUAAUUCAAAAUUCUUAAAAUUCUCACAAAGAAAAUCAAGAGAAUAUUUUGUUGGACCGGCGGAGACUGCCGAGAUUGGUGUGGGUGGGGACGGAAGCGGUGGCUGCUAGUUUUUUAACUUUUAUUUUGUUUAGUUUUAUUAAAAAGUGAACACUGUUUAGUUGUCAAAUCCUCAUUAAUAUUGUACCCUAACUCAUUAAUAAAAGCAAUAUUUGAAUGCAUUAUGGGCAAAAUAUUGGACCAAAUUCAGCUGGCACUAGCUAGUGUUAUGUUUAAUGUCAUUGGAAAACACUUUCAUGCAAAACAACUGGAAUUUUUUUUGAAAUUUUAACGAAAAUCUUUUGUUACUGUUUAUUUUUAAGAGUAGGGUUGCCGCUGACGUGGGUGACUAAGUUGCUACUGGCGGGAAAUCUAAACAUUCGUAAAUUGUGUCUAUUCAUCAUACUUAGAAAUUAUUUUAAAUUAUUUUAUUUAAAAUUAAACAUAAAUAGUACCUAAUAAAAAUUGAUUACAUAAUUUAUGAUAAACUAACAUAAUUCAAAAUUCUUAAAAUUCUCACAAAGAAAAUCAAGAGAAUAUUUUGUUGGACCGGCGGGGACUGCCGAGAUUGGUGUGGGUGGGGACGGAAGCGGUGGCUGCUAGUUUUUUAACUUUUAUUUUGUUUAGUUUUAUUAAAAAGUGAACACUGUUUAGUUGUCAAAUCCUCAUUAAUAUUGUACCCUAACUCAUUAAUAAAAGCAAUAUUUGAAUGCAUUAUGGGCAAAAUAUUGGACCAAAUUCAGCUGGCACUAGCUAGUGUUAUGUUUAAUGUCAUUGGAAAACACUUUCAUGCAAAACAACUGGAAUUUUUUUUUGAAAUUUUAACGAAAAUCUUUUGUUACUGUUUAUUUUAAAGAAAAAUCAUAUUUUUACACUAAAAAGUCAAUUUUGGUACUAUUCACUUUACCUUUUAUUUUGUCCUUAUCGUUAAAAUUUAAAAUUUUCAAACAUUUUUCAUUAGUUUUAUUUAUUUAUUUUUUUUAAUCUAAUACUUCAAUUCAGCAUGCUAUAUAUCCACACGAUAUAUGGCAUAAUUAAGGGUUUGUUUGAUUUUUUUUAGAUCUAAUUAAUUACUAACUUAUUUAGCUACAAUCACCAAAAAUAUAGGAAAUAUAGAGAUCCAAAUUAUUAUAGAUAAUGUGAAGAAAAAAAACUGAAACACCUCAAUCUUACAUAUAAAGCCAACAGCCCAAUCAAUGGUAAUUUUUGGGAUCACAAGCUUCACUAAAAAUAAUUGGACAUAAAUGCCCAUAAAACAAAAAACUUCAAAAGCAAUUCAAAAUAAUGUAGAGAUAUUUUUAUCAUAUAAC